GACGAACGCUGGCGGCGUGCUUAACACAUGCAAGUGGAGCGACGAACCAGGCUUCGGCCUGGGGCAAAGCCGCGAACGGGUGAGUAACACGUGGGUAACCUGCCCCGAUGACUGGGACAACCCGGGGAAACCCGGGCUAAUACCGGAUGUGCUCCGCUCACGAAGGUGAGCGGUGGAAAGGGAGCUUCGGCCUCCGCAUCGGGAUGGGCCCGCGGCCCAUUAGCUUGUUGGUGUGGUAACGGCUCACCAAGGCCGCGAUGGGUAGCUGGUCUGAGAGGACGAUCAGCCACACUGGGACUGAGACACGGCCCAGACUCCUACGGGAGGCAGCAGUGGGGAAUCUUGCGCAAUGCGCGAAAGCGUGACGCAGCAACGCCGCGUGGGGGAAGAAGGCCUUCGGGUUGUAAACCCCUUUCAGGAGGGACGAAGCCCGAGCGGUGAAUAGCCGACUCGGGUGACGGUACCUCCACAAGAAGCCCCGGCUAACUACGUGCCAGCAGCCGCCGUAAAAC
rnacentral:rRNA from 1 species